CUCACUUCUCGGCCUUUUGGCUAACAUCAGGUGUAAUAUCUGUUCUUAUCAGUUUAAGAUCUGAUAUGUCCCCUACCCGGGGAUCAUAUACUAACUUGAUUUUUGUAACAGGAAGGUGGACUAGGGACUUGCUCCGUCUACUCCACACGUCGACCUGUUAUUGCAGUAUCUCCAGGAAUGUUGCAUACCCU